UUUAAACACAAUCAUAAGUUUUGAUGUUCAACGUUGAUCGUUCGUCUUAUUUGAAUUUCUUUUAUAAUUAGUACUUUUAUUAUUAUUACUAUAUGAUAAAACAUAAAUAGUACCUGACUAAUUUUUUUUAUUUUUUCAUAAUUUUCGAAAUAAGAUGGACGGUUAAACGUUGGACACUAAAACCUAUAACUAUACUUAAA
rfam:Oryza barthii chromosome 11, whole genome shotgun sequence.